UAACGCGUGGGUAACCUGCCUUAUACAGGGGAGUAACAGUCAGAAAUGGCUGCUAAUACCGCAUAAGCGCACAGAGCUGCAUGGCUCAGUGUGAAAAACUCCGGUGGUAUAAGAUGGACCCGCGUUGGAUUAGCUUGUUGGUGGGGUAACGGCCCACCAAGGCGACGAUCCAUAGCCGGCCUGAGAGGGUGAACGGCCACAUUGGGACUGAGACACGGCCCAG
rnacentral:rRNA from 1 species